rnacentral:lncRNA from 1 species
AAAAGUUGUAAUUAUUCAUCUUUUUAUUUUUUAAUUUUGCAUGUAAGGAAUUGUUUGUGGAAGAAGAAAUGACUAAUUUUGAAGAGAAAAUGUAUAAAUUAAAAAGCAUAUUGAUUACAUAUCAUUGAAUGGAGAGGAGGGAAGGAGAAAAGCUAAGAAUAAAAAUCAAUUCAAAAAAAAUAAUUUUGAAGAGGAAACGUAUAAAUUAAAAAGCACAUUAAUUACAUAUCAUUGAAUAAAGAGGAGGGGAGUGGAAAAGCCAAGAGUAAAAAUCAAUUCAGAAAAAAGAUUAGCGAGGGUGGAGAAAAACUUGCCACGUGGCAAAAUUAUUAAGAAUUCAUAUAGAGUAAUGAUAAACUUACCCCAUAAAUCCAACCUUCUAAAUAAUUAAAUCUCUCACUAUUGUUUGGAGGUAAUCCUAAAGAUGUAGAGUUUAGAUUUUAAUUUUUAAUAAAUUUUUUAGAGAGUUGAAUGUGGUGAAACUUGAGUUCGAUACUUUAAAGGGGAGGUCAACAGUAGAGAAAGUCGGGUGUUAAUAAUUUAAAUUAUACUUU